CAAUGGACAGGGGGGGGGGGGGGGGGGGGGGGGGGGGGGGGGGGGGGGGGGGGGGGGGGGGGGGGGGGGGGGGGGGGGGGGGGGGGGGGGGGGGGGGGGGGGGGGGGGGGGGGGGGGGGGGGGGGGGAGAGGCUGAAAUAGAGGUCGACAGGAAGAUCCGUAUUUGUGAGUGUGUGUGUGUGUGUGUGUGUGUGCAUGUUCUGGCAAUGAAUACUUGCCUCACCUGUCAGAUCUUUUGCUGACUGUCACUUGUCUUUCUCCAGGAUGCAGUUCUUCAGAACAAACAGGAGAAACUUGCAAAAGCAGCAAGCGAUGUCCUUGAGCCGAAGAGACGGAUGGCCAUGUCUCGGGAGAUAUAUCUGGAGCACCACAUGAAGAAGGCCUCCUAGAUUAUUAGAUGAUUGUUUGUACUGUUUAGAGGAGGCAUUCACAUCCACCUGGCCUCCUGUGGUUAAGACCACACUCACGCCAUGGCAGGCAUAUGAACCCCACACCUGUACAACACAAUCAAAGCCCUUUACUGCUGAGACGGUAUACAUUUCUGUUUAACAGACCAGAAAACUCUAUAGUAUAGUUAAUACAUUCACUACAUUUACCAAACUACUGAGAUCAGUCCAAUAAUUCCGUAUUCAUGACUCCUGCUAUUAAGAUUGAAAAAAUUCAGAUAGUUUUACGGUUUUGGAGUUUCAUUGUACAUGGCAACAAAGCGAGUGAAAUUCAGUUUAUUAAAAAUAAAACAAUGGUAUGUGAGAACAGUUAUUGCUCACACAUGGACACAGAUGGGAAAGGAGAUGUUUAGAGACGUUUGUGCAGCAUGGCUGUGAGCUUCAGGAGCUCAUUGGUCAGUGUCAUGGCAGACGUCACAUGUUAAGCAAUAGGAACAGGGCUGACCACACUCAGAUCACACAGCUCCUGCAGACGACUGACAGCAUGGAGGAGGAGGAACAGAGGAGGCUCCAGCAGCAUGAGAGAGAGACAUCAGAGAAGAUCCAGAGGGAAGUGGAAGAAGAGAAGAAAUAAGAAGAGAAAAAGAACAUAAUAAAGGAGGGAGGGAACAGGCAGGAGCUCCAGGGAGUGACGCAGAUGAGAAAAACAGCAGGAGGAUUGCGUGAUUUAAGCAUAAUGUCAGAGGAAAGGGAAUAUUCACACGGCAUUUUUCUCCAGAGCUGAACCUCUCCUGGUCAAAACCCCUGUUAUGACACUACUUGGGGGCCUGGAUGGAUGACCUCGAUCUUCUGCACCGCAUUUUAAUAAACAUGGGCUGUUAAUUUUCUCAGCUAAUUUAAUACCUCAGGCCAUAAUCUGUACAAACUCUAUGAUUAUUUGCUUUAACAGAUUCCUAUUUAGCCCGUCUUUAACUGUUGAUACCAGGCUAGUAUAAACCAUUUUAUCAUCACUGUUUCAGUCUUUUUACUUUACUUACUGUGUAUUGGGAGGCUCAGGCUUGAUCUUGCCCAUUUUGUAAAUUUGCUGUUUUGGCUGACCGUGAAACAUG